UACGUAGGGGGCAAGCGUUGUCCGGAUUUAUUGGGCGUAAAGAGCGUGUAGGCGGCCUGGUAGGUCAGCUGUGAAAACUCGAGGCUCAACCUCGAGACGCCGGUUGAAACCAUCAGGCUAGAGUCCGGAAGAGGAGAGUGGAAUUCCUGGUGUAGCGGUGAAAUGCGCAGAUAUCAGGAAGAACACCGAUGGCGAAGGCAGCUCUCUGGGACGGUACUGACGCUGAGACGCGAAAGCGUGGGGAGCGAACAGG
rnacentral:rRNA from 1 species